UACAGAGGUCUCAAGCGUUGUUCGGAUUCAUUGGGCGUAAAGGGUGUGUAGGUGGCGCCGUAAGUCGGGUGUGAAAUUUCGGAGCUUAACUCCGAAACUGCAUUCGAUACUGCGGGUGCUUGAGGACUGGAGAGGAGACUGGAAUUCAUGGUGUAGCAGUGAAAUGCGUAGAGAGUCAAUGAGGAAGACCAGUGGCGAAGGCG
rnacentral:rRNA from 1 species